AGAGUUUGAUCCUGGCUCAGGAUGAACGCUGGCGGCGUGCUUAACACAUGCAAGUCGAGCGAUGAAGUUUCCUUCGGGAAACGGAUUAGCGGCGGACGGGUGAGUAACACGUGGGUAACCUGCCUCAUAGAGUGGAAUAGCCUUCCGAAAGGAAGAUUAAUACCGCAUAACGUUGAAAGAUGGCAUCAUCAUUCAACCAAAGGAGCAAUCCGCUAUGAGAUGGACCCGCGGCGCAUUAGCUAGUUGGUGGGGUAACGGCCUACCAAGGCGACGAUGCGUAGCCGACCUGAGAGGGUGAUCGGCCACAUUGGGACUGAGACACGGCCCAGACUCCUACGGGAGGCAGCAGUGGGGAAUAUUGCACAAUGGGGGAAACCCUGAUGCAGCAACGCCGCGUGAGUGAUGAAGGUUUUCGGAUCGUAAAGCUCUGUCUUUGGGGAAGAUAAUGACGGUACCCAAGGAGGAAGCCACGGCUAACUACGUGCCAGCAGCCGCGGUAAUACGUAGGUGGCGAGCGUUAUCCGGAUUUACUGGGCGUAAAGGGAGCGUAGGCGGAUGAUUAAGUGGGAUGUGAAAUACCCGGGCUCAACUUGGGUGCUGCAUUCCAAACUGGUUAUCUAGAGUGCAGGAGAGGAGAGUGGAAUUCCUAGUGUAGCGGUGAAAUGCGUAGAGAUUAGGAAGAACACCAGUGGCGAAGGCGACUCUCUGGACUGUAACUGACGCUGAGGCUCGAAAGCGUGGGGAGCAAACAGGAUUAGAUACCCUGGUAGUCCACGACGUAAACGAUGAAUACUAGGUGUGGGGGUUUCAACACCUCCGUGCCGCCGCUAACGCAUUAAGUAUUCCGCCUGGGGAGUACGGUCGCAAGAUUAGAACUCAAAGGAAUUGACGGGGACCCGCACAAGUAGCGGAGCAUGUGGUUUAAUUCGAAGCAACGCGAAGAACCUUACCUACACUUGACAUCCCUUGCAUUACUCUUAAUCGAGGAAAUCCCUUCGGGGACAAGGUGACAGGUGGUGCAUGGUUGUCGUCAGCUCGUGUCGUGAGAUGUUGGGUUAAGUCCCGCAACGAGCGCAACCCUUGUCGUUAGUUACUACCAUUAAGUUGAGGACUCUAGCGAGACUGCCUGGGUUAACCAGGAGGAAGGUGGGGAUGACGUCAAAUCAUCAUGCCCCUUAUGUGUAGGGCUACACACGUGCUACAAUGGCUGGUACAGAGAGAUGCAAUACCGUGAGGUGGAGCCAAACUUUAAAACCAGUCUCAGUUCGGAUUGUAGGCUGAAACUCGCCUACAUGAAGCUGGAGUUACUAGUAAUCGCGAAUCAGAAUGUCGCGGUGAAUACGUUCCCGGGUCUUGCACACACCGCCCGUCA
rnacentral:rRNA from 1 species